GACGGACCCACCUUAGAAUGGAUGGCCUUUUUUGGAUUUAGCAGGUUUAUUGGAGAACGGUUACGAACUGUGCUCCAAAGAAAGGAAAAUGGCGAAGGUGCACAUUCAGAAAUGUCGAGCUGCGUUUACUUCCGCGCUAGUUUUAUGGAGAGGAAAGUGUAGAAACACUUGGCUGUGAUUGCUACUUGCUGUGUGAAAAGAAAAUGUUCCAUUAGGUAUGGACGCUUUUUUUUUAUUCCACUGUGCGGAUCGUUACUCGUACUGGCGACUUUCCUGAUGCUGCUGACUUUGAAAAUUGCUGCUGGUAUCAUACGAACAGCACCACGAACGAUUAAUUUACAAUGUUAUAUACCAAGUACACCAAAACUGCGCACUUAUACAUCUGUAACAUUUGCGCAGCAUCCUUAUUUUCGAGUCUUGGAGGAAUAUGAAGAGAAGGUAGGUGUUUUAUGCUCGUGAAUGAGGUUAUAAGCAAGACUACCGAGUUGGGACCGAAAGCAGUUUGUUUAAAAGCUUUAUUUUUCAACAGUAAAAUUUGACUUGUUUAAUAGCGUGUGAAAACUGUUGCUGAGAUUUUAUAAAUUUUAGAGCAUUGUUGUAUAUUGAUCCGAAGUAAUAAAUGUGUUAAUAAAGACUUUUGAAAGAAGUUUGAAAUAUGGUGUACCCUACUUUUUGCUGAUACGAAGUUGAAUUCCCUCUGGUUUGCAGAUAUUUAAGACGGAAGGAAUGUUUAGGGGUCCUUCUUCAUAAAGUGUAACUUUUCUGUCACACGCCUUUUACAGUAAAAACCUUAAGGAACAAUUCAUUUGACAAUGAUUUUUAAUUUCAUCAAAAAUAUAUCUAUUUAAACUUGUCAACAAUUUUUUAACAAUAAUUUUUAUUUUAGUAUAUUUUUGGUUCACA